CCCGCGAUCCAGCGUAUAUAAACCUUGCACACCUCCAGCAAGGAUCACACUCCCCUAUCAACUUUUUACCCAGUUACAACUACUCAAGUCUCGCUACUCAACAUGAAGCUGACGCUGCUCCUGGUGGCCCUGUGUGCCCUUAUGGGUGUGGUUCUGGCACUGCCCUCACCUUACGCCCUGCCUGACGCGGAUCCUUCACGUCGACAUAGACAUGGAUUUAGCCACCACUACCCUUUCAUCACCCACAUACAUCACGAUGACCACAUCCACCACACCAGACACUUCCCUGGCGGCUACCACGACCACUUCACCACAUACGGUGGUCACCAUCACCACUAGUACCAUCACGCGUCAUGGUGCUGGUGACUGACUGUCAUUGUCAGAGUACCAUGAUGGUCAACUCCACCUGGAUUACGGCUGCAGACUUACAACAACUGGCUCACGGUUCAACAUGGUCAUGUUAAGACACUUUUGUUUAUAUAGUUCACGUGUGGGUGAGUGUGUGGUGGGCGCCGGGCAGCGUGGCGACCUACUCCAGUACUGAGUCUCGGGUCUUCAACACCCAAGUCAACUUUGUGUCCUUCUCUUACCAGCCACUACUGCUGCCACCAUCUUCACCUGUUCCAUCAGGGCUGACCCACCUCACACACCUUUCCACCCUGGUAUAUUGUUUUCUAUCUUGGCUAUAAUAGAUAUUCUUGUUUGUUAUCAUUUAUCUACCAAGUUUGAAGGUACACAGUCACAUGUAUAGUCAUACUAUGAACUGUACUGUGUAGCCACAUGUGUCUAAUGGCAGUAUAUAUGUAUGGUGAGUUAUUGUAAGAGUGACAGUUAAAUAAACACGACCACAACAUCA
rnacentral:lncRNA from 1 species